UACGGGGGGGGCAAGCGUUGUCCGGAAUUACUGGGCGUAAAGAGCUCGUAGGUGGUUUGUCGCGUUGUUCGUGAAAACUCACAGCUCAACUGUGGGCGUGCGGGCGAUACGGGCAGACUUGAGUACUGCAGGGGAGACUGGAAUUCCUGGUGUAGCGGUGGAAUGCGCAGAUAUCAGGAGGAACACCGGUGGCGAAGGCGGGUCUCUGGGCAGUAACUGACGCUGAGGAGCGAAAGCGUGGGGAGCGAACAGG
rnacentral:rRNA from 1 species